AAGACUUGUGGAUUUAGAAGACAGAAGACAGAAAAUGCAACUCAUUUUAUAUAUAGAACUAGAAUUUGCAUGAACAAUAACAUCUUUCAAAAAAUAAUAAUAAUCACUUUUAGUAAUUUCGUCAUGACACCAGAUCAUAGUAAGUAUCAAUAUAGAAAAAGGAUAGGUAGAUUUAAGCAUUGAAAAACUUGAUUUUAUUUGAUCACUUAUAGGAUUUUCAUGUAUUUCUUUUUACCUUGUAGAACAAGCUACUAAUGAAGGACAUAUGGAAAAUGACAUUUCAUCUGCAAAGACAUCAGAGCACCUUUAGAGAUAAUAAAUAGCAAAGAAACUGAUUGAGUACUAUCACACAAAUGCUUUUCAUACUGCUGUUACCUGAUCGAGAUUUUUGAAGAGAAUGAUAUCUUUGCAAGCUUCCUGAAGUCUGGAUCUUUGUUCAUCAGACUUGGGAUGAACCACCUACAAAAUAGAUACAAUUAAAAACUCAUUUUCUUUUUCUAGAGAGUGAAAGAUUACAUUGUUAGAUCAAGAAAAUUAUGAUAUAUUUCUUUCCCCUUAA